UUCGACACACUAUCAUUAACUGAAUCCAUAGGUUAAUGAGGCGAACCGGGGGAACUGAAACAUCUAAGUACCCCGAGGAAAAGAAAUCAACCGAGAUUCCCCCAGUAGCGGCGAGCGAACGGGGAGCAGCCCAGAGCCUGAAUCAGUGUGUGUGUUAGUGGAAGCGUCUGGAAAGGCGCGCGAUACAGGGUGACAGCCCCGUACACAAAAAUGCACAUGCUGUGAGCUCGAUGAGUAGGGCGGGACACGUGGUAUCCUGUCUGAAUAUGGGGGGACCAUCCUCCAAGGCUAAAUACUCCUGACUGACCGAUAGUGAACCAGUACCGUGAGGGAAAGGCGAAAAGAACCCCGGCGAGGGGAGUGAAAAAGAACCUGAAACCGUGUACGUACAAGCAGUGGGAGCACGCUUAGGCGUGUGACUGCGUACCUUUUGUAUAAUGGGUCAGCGACUUAUAUUCUGUAGCAAGGUUAACCGAAUAGGGGAGCCGAAGGGAAACCGAGUCUUAACUGGGCGUUAAGUUGCAGGGUAUAGACCCGAAACCCGGUGAUCUAGCCAUGGGCAGGUUGAAGGUUGGGUAACACUAACUGGAGGACCGAACCGACUAAUGUUGAAAAAUUAGCGGAUGACUUGUGGCUGGGGGUGAAAGGCCAAUCAAACCGGGAGAUAGCUGGUUCUCCCCGAAAGCUAUUUAGGUAGCGCCUCGUGAAUUCAUCUCCGGGGGUAGAGCACUGUUUCGGCAAGGGGGUCAUCCCGACUUACCAACCCGAUGCAAACUGCGAAUACCGGAGAAUGUUAUCACGGGAGACACACGGCGGGUGCUAACGUCCGUCGUGAAGAGGGAAACAACCCAGACCGCCAGCUAAGGUCCCAAAGUCAUGGUUAAGUGGGAAACGAUGUGGGAAGGCCCAGACAGCCAGGAUGUUGGCUUAGAAGCAGCCAUCAUUUAAAGAAAGCGUAAUAGCUCACUGGUCGAGUCGGCCUGCGCGGAAGAUGUAACGGGGCUAAACCAUGCACCGAAGCUGCGGCAGCGACGCUUAUGCGUUGUUGGGUAGGGGAGCGUUCUGUAAGCCUGCGAAGGUGUGCUGUGAGGCAUGCUGGAGGUAUCAGAAGUGCGAAUGCUGACAUAAGUAACGAUAAAGCGGGUGAAAAGCCCGCUCGCCGGAAGACCAAGGGUUCCUGUCCAACGUUAAUCGGGGCAGGGUGAGUCGACCCCUAAGGCGAGGCCGAAAGGCGUAGUCGAUGGGAAACAGGUUAAUAUUCCUGUACUUGGUGUUACUGCGAAGGGGGGACGGAGAAGGCUAUGUUGGCCGGGCGACGGUUGUCCCGGUUUAAGCGUGUAGGCUGGUUUUCCAGGCAAAUCCGGAAAAUCAAGGCUGAGGCGUGAUGACGAGGCACUACGGUGCUGAAGCAACAAAUGCCCUGCUUCCAGGAAAAGCCUCUAAGCAUCAGGUAACAUCAAAUCGUACCCCAAACCGACACAGGUGGUCAGGUAGAGAAUACCAAGGCGCUUGAGAGAACUCGGGUGAAGGAACUAGGCAAAAUGGUGCCGUAACUUCGGGAGAAGGCACGCUGAUAUGUAGGUGAAGUCCCUCGCGGAUGGAGCUGAAAUCAGUCGAAGAUACCAGCUGGCUGCAACUGUUUAUUAAAAACACAGCACUGUGCAAACACGAAAGUGGACGUAUACGGUGUGACGCCUGCCCGGUGCCGGAAGGUUAAUUGAUGGGGUCAGCGCAAGCGAAGCUCUUGAUCGAAGCCCCGGUAAACGGCGGCCGUAACUAUAACGGUCCUAAGGUAGCGAAAUUCCUUGUCGGGUAAGUUCCGACCUGCACGAAUGGCGUAAUGAUGGCCAGGCUGUCUCCACCCGAGACUCAGUGAAAUUGAACUCGCUGUGAAGAUGCAGUGUACCCGCGGCAAGACGGAAAGACCCCGUGAACCUUUACUAUAGCUUGACACUGAACAUUGAGCCUUGAUGUGUAGGAUAGGUGGGAGGCUUUGAAGUGUGGACGCCAGUCUGCAUGGAGCCGACCUUGAAAUACCACCCUUUAAUGUUU
rnacentral:rRNA from 1 species